rnacentral:rRNA from 1 species
AAAUUGAAGAGUUUGAUCAUGGCUCAGAUUGAACGCUGGCGGCAGGCCUAACACAUGCAAGUCGAACGGUAACAGGAAGCAGCUUGCUGCUUCGCUGACGAGUGGCGGACGGGUGAGUAAUGUCUGGGAAACUGCCUGAUGGAGGGGGAUAACUACUGGAAACGGUGGCUAAUACCGCAUAACGUCGCAAGACCAAAGAGGGGGACCUUAGGGCCUCUUGCCAUCAGAUGUGCCCAGAUGGGAUUAGCU